rnacentral:rRNA from 1 species
GAGCACGUAGGUGGGUUUGUAAGUCAGACGUGAAAGCCUUCUGUUCAACGGAAGAAUUGCAUCUGAAACUACAAACCUUGAGUGUAGGAGGGGAGAAUGGAACUUCUGGUGGAGCGGUGAAAUGCGUAGAUAUCAGAAGGAACGCCGGCGGCGAAAGCGAUUCUCUGGCCUAUUACUGACACUCAGUGUGCGAAAGCUAGGGGAGCAAACGGGAUUAGAUACCCCGGUAGUCCUAGCCGUAAACGAUGGGCACUAAGUAGAGGGGUUUUAA